rnacentral:misc_RNA from 1 species
UCCGGUUUGUCACCGGCAGUCUCAUUAGAGUGCCCUUUCGUAGCGACUAAUGACAAGGGUUGCGCUCGUUGCGGGACUUAACCCAACAUCUCACGACACGAGCUGACGACAGCCAUGCACCACCUGUGCACAGGCCCCGAAGGGCUGCCGUGUUUCCACGACAUUCCUGUGCAUGUCAAGCCCAGGUAAGGUUCUUCGCGUUGCGUCGAAUUAAACAACAUGCUCCGCUGCUUGUGCGGGCCCCCGUCAAUCCCUUUGAGUUUUAGCCUUGCGGCCGUACUCCCCAGGCGGGGCACUUAAUGCGUUAGCUACGGCACGGAUCCCGUCGAUAGGGACCCACACCUAGUGCCCAUCGUUUACGGCUGGGACUAC